UGUUAAUUAAUUUAAGGCAUAUACUGACACUAACAUAACAUCUUUUGGAAGGCAGUGACACAUUUUAGAAUUUAAUCAAGUAAAAGUUGAAUAUCGUUAUAUGCCAUGUUAUAUUUCUAGUAUUUAUACUAACACUAAUAGUUAGUACUCCUAAAAAGUAUUAAUGAGUAUUAUAUUAAACAAGCGCGAAACUGAUUUCGUUUCUCUCCAUGGAUAAGUGUAGGACAGUAUACUGUAUAUUAGGAAAGUUUACAGACCUGACUUAGUAGAAAUUGAAAUGAAAGAAGUACUUCUUACAAUUAUUUAUUUUGUUUUCGCGUUUGUUUUACUUAUUAUGUUAGUUUGUCUUGGCUGGUUUCUUGUGUGGAAACUCUUCUUAUCACGAUUUGCAUUUGUUCGUGAGCUGCUUAUGUCAAAUAAUGGAAGCGUUGAAGAAUCAAGAAGUAGAAGUAGGGUGAGAAAAGUUAGAGUGGAAUGAUAAAUUGAUCUUUGUGUUACAAAAACCCUAUGAAAGUUGAUGCAGUAGAAAUCAGUCUUUGUGUUACAAAAACUCUACAAAAGUUGGUACACUAGAAAUCAUUCUUUGUGUUACAAAAACCCUACAAAAGUUGGUACACUAGUACAUUUCAGAGUGUUCUGUUAUGUUUGUUCUGUAUCUGAAUGAAUUACUAAACAUUUAAAAUAAGAUGACUUGCUUCAGAAAGUAA